rnacentral:rRNA from 1 species
UAAACGACUCUCGGCAACGGAUAUCUCGGCUCUCGCAUCGAUGAAGAACGUAGCAAAAUGCGAUACUUGGUGUGAAUUGCAGAAUCCCGUGAACCAUCGAGUCUUUGAACGCAAGUCGUGCCCGAAGCCAUUAGGCCGAGGGCACGUCUGCCUGGGCGUCACAC